AUAGUGGAUAUUUGGCCUAACUUUUGAAAAGGGAUUUUGUGUUCAGAAGUGAUUUUCGACUGAAUAGAGCAUUUGGUAAUCUUAUUUUUAAAAAUUGAUUUUGAUUUUUACUAUCAGUUUUUUAAUUUUCGAAACCCAAAAUCAGAAGCAGCUAAAACUUGCUUCUUGAAAUCUGAUUCUGAUUUUGAACUCAAAAUUUUAAAUUUUUAUUUGGAUUUUACAUUCAAAUUUUAAAUUUUAAUUUCGACUUUUAAAUAAUUUAUUUUUAUUUAUUUAUACAAUAUAUAAAAUAUUUAAUAAUUUAUAUAAAACUCGACGGGUUCGGGUCCAAAUCCGAUCCGUUGACAUCCCUAAAAGAGAAGAAAAGAAAUAUAUAAAUAUGAAACAUAGUGAAUCAUUCACCGUGUUUGACUUGGCAACCAACCUCUCGACCCGCCCACGUGGCGCUUGCGUGGUGCCUGCGUGGCAGAAGUAGGGUCAUUUUUGUAAUUAUAAAUUUGGUGGGGCUAGUUUUAAAAUAAAAUUUUUUGGGGAGGCCAUUUGCAUAAAAAGUUCUUAAUUGAAGGGUUAAAUGCAUACAAGUUCCUACAAAUAUAGUAAAUUACAAAUGCAUACUUAUAAAGUUCAACUUUCAUAUGUUGUUCUUAUAAAAGUUCUAAUAUUUUCAAAUAUAUCCCGCUGGUUUGUUACCGUUUUAAACUGUUUAUAUUUUAAGUGAAAUGUCAAUUUUGUCAUCACAAAUAUGUCUCUCCAAAAGCCGCAACAGUAUAUUAUAAGAGGGGCAAAAAUACCAAGUUAUCUCAUAAACUAAUUAGGGUUAAGUAUUUAAUUUAUGGUUAACUAAAGUUUUCUAACGAAUUCUAACGGCAAAGACAUAUUUAAAAAUAUUAGAACUUUUGUCUGGACAAUACAUGAAAGUUGAACUUUGUAAGGAUAUAUUUGUAAUUUACUAUAUUUGUAGGGACCUGUAUGAAAUUAACUAAUUGAAGAUUGUAGAACGUUUAGCUGAAUCUAA
rnacentral:lncRNA from 1 species